rnacentral:rRNA from 1 species
AUUGAACGCUGGCGGCAGGCUUAACACAUGCAAGUCGAACGAGUGGCGGACGGGUGAGUAAUGCUUGGGAAUCUAGCUUAUGGAGGGGGAUAACUACUGGAAACUGUAGCUAAUACCGCGUACCCUCGGAUGUGCCCAAGUGGGAUUAGGUAGUUGGUGAGGUAAAGGCUCACAAAGCCGACGAUCUCUAGCUGGUCUGAGAGGAUGACCAGCCACACUGGGACUGAGACACGGCCCAGAAUCCGAAGGGAGGCAGCAGUGGGGAAUAUUGCGCAAUGGGGGCAAACUGAAGCAGCCAUGCCGCGUGAAUGAAGAAGGCCUUCGGGUUGUAAAGUUCUUUCGGUAGCGAGGCGUUAACUACAGAAGAAGCACCGGCUAACUCCGUGCCAGCAGCCGCGGUAAUAC